CAAAAUAGAGCUUGACUAGUUAAGCAUUUCACUUACGUUGAAAAGAUAUC
rnacentral:tRNA from 1 species